UACGUAGGCGGCUUGGUAUGUCGGAUGUGAAAGCCCGGGGCUCAACCCCGGAAGUGCAUCCGAAACUGCCGAGCUAGAGUACAGGAUGGGAGAGCGGAAUUCAUGGUGUAGCGGUGAAAUGCGUUGAUAUCAUGAAGAACACCGGUGGCGAAGGCGGCUCUCUGGAAUGUAACUGACGCUGAGGUACGAAAGCGUGGGUAGCAAACAGGAUUAGAUACCCUGGUAGUCC
rnacentral:rRNA from 1 species